rnacentral:lncRNA from 1 species
AGGGGAAUCACCACCACAUGCCUCUUUCCCAGGCAGGGGAGCAGGAAACAGCUGAGGCGGUGGAGCUUGGUGGCCAAUUAUCCUGGACCCCCCACCACUCCUGGGGUGGGGGAGGGGAGCACUGUUGGGGAGGAGUUUUCGCUGAUGUUUUAAUAUUUUAAAAAGCAUCAUAAGCUUACAAGAUCUGGUGGCUCCGAGUCCGGCUGCCUUUUCCUCAGGGAAGAAAAUCUCUGUUGGCUGCGGGCUGAGAAGCGGCGGAAAGAUUCCCGGCUCCGGGAGGCGAGGUGUCUGAAGGAUGAGGUGCGCUUGAAGGAGGUUCGGCCGGCGGGCUCCCCGCUUGCCCGCUCCGGGCCCACUGUGCUGGUCACUAAGUUGAGGGCCUCCUGGAAGGACCGCCGGACGGUCCCCAUCCACUGGGUCAUGUGGGUUUGGGCCACCGUGAGUUUGUCUCCCAGAAGUUCUGGGCUCGCCCGGAGAGGGAAGCCAGCAGCCCUCUUCAGUGGGACCCAGAGUAAAUAAACAUCGCUGAGCCAGCAGCCUUUGGCAUCCGCGGGUCUUACUCCGAAGCAGAGGCGGUUCAGGGUCAAGUCCACCCCCCAGAGUUAUGGAAAGACUGAGGCAGAGGGAUUCGGUGACCAGGCUAAGGUCACACAGCUAUGAAGUGAUGGAGUGUGCAGCCCCCAGCCUCGCACCAUGGGCAACGUAGAAGAGGACCUGGCCUUUGUCAAAUCAGUCGGAGUGGAAGACAAGGGUUGGAAAAAGCAGAAGCGAGCAAGCAGCAGGCAGGGUGGCACAGUCCCGCCUCCUUCCACAAUGGGGGAGAGGGGCGCAGAAGGGAGCUGGGAAGCCAGAUUGCCGGCCUGCUCCCCACUCUGGCUCCCUUUAGGUACAAUGUGGUCUCAAAGUGUGACUAUAAAAAGCGUCACUCUCUGAAAACUGGGGCAGCCUGAGUGCUUUCCCCGCCAGAGGACUUUUUCUGCAGACUCUUCUGUUCUCUCCAGGAAACUCUUGGGAUGUUGCUGGGCAUCAAAAAGGAAAGGAAGCCAUCUCCUUACAUAAUUAAUCCAAAAUACUCUGGAGAGGCUGCUGUGAUUCAGGAAAUAAAUGGGAGUUUUCCCCUCAGUGCAAGGUGGGGCCCAGAGGUCAUCAUUUCCCAGCAAGCGUGUGCAGUUACAGAAAUUGGAACGUCGGUCAUUCAUUCAUUCAACAAACUGUGAAUGUGUUCU